rnacentral:tRNA from 4 species
GCAUUAGUGGCUCAAAACUAGAGCGUCGGCCUUGUAAGCCGAAUGUUGGAGGUUAAAGUCCUCCCUACUGCU